CCUACGGGUGGCAGCAGUGAGGAAUAUUGGUCAAUGGACGAGAGUCUGAACCAGCCAAGUAGCGUGAAGGAUGACUGCCCUAUGGGUUGUAAACUUCUUUUAUAUGGGAAUAAAAUGUUCCACGUGUGGGAUUUUGUAUGUACAAUAUGAAUAAGGAUCGGCUAACUCCGUGCCAGCAGCCGCGGUAAUACGGAGGAUCCGAGCGUUAUCCGGAUUUAUUGGGUUUAAAGGGAGCGUAGGUGGAUUGUUAAGUCAGUUGUGAAAGUUUGCGGCUCAACCGUAGAAUUGCAGUUGAAACUGGCAGUCUUGAGUACAGUAGAGGUGGGCGGAAUUCGUGGUGUAGCGGUGAAAUGCUUAGAUAUCACGAAGAACUCCGAUUGCGAAGGCAGUUCACUGGACUGCAACUGACACUGAGGCUCGAAAGUGUGGGUAUCAAACAGGAUUAGAUACCCCAGUAGUC
rnacentral:rRNA from 1 species